AAGGAAUAUUGGUCAAUGGAGGCAACUCUGAACCAGCCAUGCCGCGUGCAGGAAGACUGCCCUAUGGGUUGUAAACUGCUUUUAUCCGGGAAUAAACCUAUUUACGUGUAAAUAGCUGAAUGUACCGGAAGAAUAAGGAUCGGCUAACUCCGUGCCAGCAGCCGCGGUAAUACGGAGGAUCCAAGCGUUAUCCGGAUUUAUUGGGUUUAAAGGGUGCGUAGGCGGCCUGUUAAGUCAGGGGUGAAAGACGGUAGCUCAACUAUCGCAGUGCCCUUGAUACUGAUGGGCUUGAAUGAACUAGAGGUAGGCGGAAUGAGACAAGUAGCGGUGAAAUGCAUAGAUAUGUCUCAGAACACCGAUUGCGAAGGCAGCUUACUAUGGUUUAAUUGACGCUGAGGCACGAAAGCGUGGGGAUCAAAC
rnacentral:rRNA from 1 species